GGGGAUGUAGCUCAGUGGUAGAGCACAUGCUUUGCAUGCAUGACAUUCUGGGUUUAAUGCCCAGCAUCCCCA